CGGGGGAGGCUGGAUCCUGGGCUGUGUCCCGGAGCCCUGUGCUCCAGGGCCUGCGCUGUUGGAUUCGUGCUCCCGGCCCGCAGCCCCCU
rnacentral:pre_miRNA from 1 species